UUGGUUCAGGAUGAACGCUGGCGGCGUGCCUAACACAUGCAAGUCGAGCGAUUACUUCGGUAAAGAGCGGCGGACGGGUGAGUAACGCGUGGGUAACCUGCCUCAUACACAUGGAUAACAUACCGAAAGGUAUGCUAAUACAGGAUAAUAUAAGAGAUUCACAUGGAUUUCUUAUCAAAGCUCCGGCGGUAUGAGGUGGACCCGCGUCUGAUUAGCUAGUUGGUAAGGUAAUGGCUUACCAAGGCGACGAUCAGUAGCCGACCUGAGAGGGUGAUCGGCCACAUUGGAACUGAGACACGGUCCAAACUCCUACGGGAGGCAGCAGUGGGGAAUAUUGCACAAUGGGCGAAAGCCUGAUUGCAGCAACGCCGCGUGAGUGAUGAAGGCCUUCGGGUCGUAAAACUCUGUCCUCAAGGAAGAUAAUGACGGUACUUGAGGAGGAAGCCCCGGCUAACUACGUGCCAGCCGCCGC
rnacentral:rRNA from 1 species